rnacentral:rRNA from 1 species
CAGUAGCCACGGUAAUACGUAGGUGGCAAGCGUUGUCCGGAAUUAUUGGGCGUAAAGGACUCGCAGGCGGUUUCUUAAGUCUGAUGUGAAAGCCCCCGGCUCAACCGGGGAGGGUCAUUGGAAACUGGGAAACUUGAGUGCAGAAGAGGAGAGUGGAAUUCCACGUGUAGCGGUGAAAUGCGUAGAGAUGUGGAGGAACACCAGUGGCGAAGGAGACUCUCUGGUCUGUAACUGACGCUGAGGAGCGAAAGCGUGGGGAGCGAACAGGAUUAGAUACCCCUGUAGUCCCUGUCUCUUAUAC